rnacentral:lncRNA from 1 species
GCGUCUGCGGCCUGUCAAAAACUGGCGCUUUUUUCCUCCCCUUUCCGUGGAGAGACUAUCAACUCCAUCUGUCACAAAAAUUAAGGCUAAAUCUCCUCUCCAGAAGCAGAGGGAGCCGGGGCUCCGACGCGCUCAGCGUCGGGCUGUCUGCCUCUCCCUAGAGGCCAAGUGAAUUUGAAAUGGCAAAAGUCACAGCCGGAGGCCCAGCACUAGGAGAUUCCUCCGGCUGCGGGAAAUCUUCCUGUACCUGCUGAAGCUGCUGCGUUCCUCAGAGGCGCUUGGUCUGCCGUGGGAAGCUGCACCUCUGCAGUCCCCAAAACCAAAAUCAAACCUUAAAAGAGCCAGACUGAGAAGCCAGUCACCACGUAAGACAUCUGGACCACCUUCAGACUCGCAUGCUGUGAGGAAGCCCAUGCUUACUAUGUGUAGAGGAUACAUGGAGAAGGAAAGAGAUGCCUGGCCAGCUCCCUGCUGUUUCAGCCAUGUGAGUGAAGAAGGCACCAGACUUGUGAGUGGAGACACUAACUUGGAUGUCCAGCCCAGCUGAACCUUCAGGCAGAGGUGCUGAGCAGCUAAUUGGAGGGGAUAGUAUGAGCCUCCAAAGAUUAGGGAAGAAAAUUGCAGUUGAAGAAAACUUGCUUUGGUUCAAUGCAAAAAUAAUGGGAUGAAUGGCAUGCUGAAAUAUCAUAUGACUUACGAAAAUGAUGAAUGGUUUAUUGAAUCUACAUAUGUGGAACCCAUGAAUGGGAGUCGGAGAAGGGGGCAACUGUAUACGCAAAAAGCUAUCAUAAUUGCCAAAAUAGUGAUAACAAUGUUGAAACACUACUGGGAUUACUACUGUUAAUGACUACCAGUGAUCAAGCACCUCCCCUGCCCCAGUGUUUGCCUGCCUUGUUUGAAGACACGAAAAAAUGUACACAAAAUGAUUUAGAACUGUUGAACUUUUCAGAAAAUAAUUUAAAAUCAUCUACCUCAUAACUAAAGGAAAUCAAAGCAAAUGGCCUUAAGAGUGGCAUCCAGUGGACCGUCCUCUGAAAAGUGACCCACAAUUCUGCAUGAAUCUUUCCAGGACACUGAAUUGGAGCCAGCUGAUGUAAGGAGCUUACCUUGGUUGCCACCUUCUGGUCUCUGUUUGAGGAACAACUGCAUGUGAUUAAGGGUAACAGAUACAGAAUUUGUGUUAAGCCCAGGAUGUAAUUUGUUGAAUGAGUAGCAAUUGACUUGAAAAUUGGAUGGAUGGGGAUUGUGUUUCUUUACUCUCUCUCUCUUUUCUUUCUCCCUCUCAAUACGGCUAGAUUAAAUCAUCUUUAGUCUAGUCAAAUCAGUGCUUGCUGUUGUUAAGAAGGAUAUUCUUGAGGUAUAGUACUUCAGGGAUGCUAAUUGGGAUUUGAGCAAGAUGAAAUUUCUACCCAGGUGUGUGCAUCGUAUACUGGAGAUGGCAAAAACUGGUUCCAAAUGAGGGUGUGUUUGUGUUCCUAGGCAUGUUCCUAUAGGGGCCAAAAAGAUGCAAAAUCUUCUUUUCUAAAGCUUUUGGUGUUCUCAAGCUUGUCUACACAAUGGAAUCACCUGGAGAAUUUGGAAAACCAAAAAUACUGAUACCACUGAUCCUACCCAACAGAUUCUAUUUUAAUUGGUAUGGAGUAUGGCCUCAGCACUGAUAUUUUUUAAAGUUUCUGAGGCGAUCCUAAUGUGCAGCAAAGCACCGUCAAGCCCCCUCUCUCUGAGGAGGCACCAGCUGCAAGCAUGUUUUACACCAAUAUGUUUGCUGAAUAUAAACAUCCCAGUGCAAACUCUUGCACCCCAGAACUCUGGGCUGCUUGUGGACAGUCUUUGGCAAAGUCUGAAUUUAUAAACUGAUA